AAAUUUAAAAACGACAAUGGAUAAAACAAAUUUAAGAAACAUGAUUUACUACGAUUAGAUUAAAUACGCGUGCAAUAAACAAAAUAAUAUUAUUGCUAACAUUAUAAGCCAGCGCGUGGUUUUGCGAUAUUUAUUAUCAUAAAUAAAUAAAUAAAUACUAUUAAUCAGUAAACAUACCUACAAUUAUUGUUACUUUGGCGCAUUUUGGUACUGAUAGUGCAACCGAUACGUGUUUUCAGCAAGGUAAUUUUAAAUGCCUCGAAUAAUAUCCGUAUACAAUUCCAUGAUUUUACGAUUGAUCGAUUUUCAUGAAAAUCAUAAAAAUAAAAAUAAAAAGACGGACAUACUUUACACGUGGGUGCACUUC